GGGCGGAUGGCGGAAUUGGUAGACGCACUGCACUCAAAAUGCAGCGGGGAAACCCGUAGGAGUUCGAGUCUCCUCCUGCCCA
rnacentral:tRNA from 4 species